AAGUAGAGUGAUCGAAAGAUGAAAAGCACUUUGGAAAGAGAGUUAAAAAGUACGUGAAAUUGUUGAAAGGGAAGCGCUUGCAACCAGACUCGUCCGCAGUUGCUCAGCCGGUCUCUUGACCGGCGUACUCUUCUGCGGCCGGGCCAGCAUCAGUUCGGACGGCCGGAUAAAGGCCUCGGGAAUGUAGCACCCUUCGGGGUGUGUUAUAGCCCGGGGUGGAAUGCGGCCAGCCUGGACUGAGGAUCUCGCCGGCU
rnacentral:rRNA from 1 species